CAGAGACAACUGCUGCUGCACCGCUCAUGUAAUUCUGGAAAAAUCACCGGGCCAGUCCGCCUGCAUUACUCAUAGCACAGUGGUCUGUGUCAUCUCCGCCCCCUGGCCAAGGGGUCAUCCUGAUCUCUGAACCCCCACUCCUCACCCUCCUCCCACCAGCCUGACCCAGCGACCACCCCACCUUGCACCCAACCAAGCGGACCGAAGACCCUUAAACAGUGCCAGGCUCAAUCACCACCUCAAGUCCUCUGAGAUCACGCAGGUCUUAAGUGAAGAUUCUUUUGGAAGUUGUAAAAAGAGAGAAAUCAAGAAGCACUUUUUUUUAAGACCGAUCACGAAAAGAUCUUCAUACAUUUAAUGAAUUGGACAGAAA
ensembl:lncRNA